GCCGCUGUUCGCAGGGAAGGGAGUGGGGCGAACAUGGCUGAAGACAGCCGAGGAGACCCAGCGUGCGGUGGGAUGGAUGGCAGGCAGGAUCCGGUCCCCAGCAGUGGCGGCUUCAACUUUCCAGAGUACGAGCUUCCUGAGCUAAACACGCACGCUUUCCAUGUGGCCGCCUUCGGGGAGCUGUGGCGUGGCCGGCUGCGCGGGGAAGGGGACCUGUCGCUGAAGGAGCCGCCGGCACCGGCGCUGCCCGGGGCCGGAGGAGUCACCGACUCCGGCAGCGAGGAUGCCGCCGUGGCCCGCGAUCUGGGCUGCAGCCUGGAAACGGCAGCCGAGCUGAGGGCGGUGUGCGGCCUUGAUAAACUGAAGUGCCUUGAGGAAGGGGAGGAUCCAGAAGUCAUCCCAGAAAAUACUGACCUAGUGACUUUGGGGGUUAGAAAGAAGCUUCUGAAACACCGGGAAGAAACCUUAACGAUAGAUCGAGCCUGCAGACAAGAGACAUUUGCUUAUGAGAUGGAGUCACAUGCUAUAGGGAAAAAGCCUGAAAAUUCAGCAGACAUGAUUGAAGAAGGAGAGCUUAUCCUAUCUGUAAAUAUCUUUUACCCUGUGAUUUUUCAUAAGCACAAAGAACAUAAGCCCUACCAAACGAUGCUGGUAUUAGGCAGUCAAAAGCUCACGGAACUGAGGGAUUCCAUUUGCUGUGUCAGUGACCUCCAGAUUGGUGGGGAAUUCAGCAACACUCCUGACCAGGCUCCUGAGAACAUCAGCAAGGACCUAUACAAAUCAGCCUUCUUUUAUUUUGAAGGAACAUUUUAUAAUGAUAAAAGAUACCCUGAGUGCAGAGAUUUGAGCAGAACCAUCAUUGAGUGGUCAGAGUCCCAUGAUAGAGGCUAUGGAAAGUUUCAGACUGCUAAGAUGGAAGACUUCACCUUCAAUGAUUUGUAUAUUAAAGUGGGUUUUCCUUACUUAUACUGUCACCAGGGAGACUGUGAACAUGUUGUUGUCAUUACUGACAUAAGGCUUGUGCAUCAUGACGACUGCCUGGAUAAGACACUUUAUCCCCUUCUUAUCAAGAAGCAUUGGCUCUGGACCAGAAAAUGUUUUGUUUGUAAAAUGUUCACAGCUCGAUGGGUGACGAACAAUGACAGUUUUGCACCACAGGAUCCAUGUUUCUUUUGUGAUGUUUGCUUCCGAAUGCUCCAUUAUGAUGCAGAAGGCAACAAACUGGGGGAAUUCCUCGCUUAUCCCUAUGUUGAUCCUGGAACCUUUAAUUAAUAUCCAAAAGUGUACCCUUGUGAAAUAACUUGGUUACUUUGCUUCCAAGAAAUGCCAACGAGGAACAGGAUCCACCAGAAACAAAUCGGCUAAAGUUGUCAUCCCCGCAAAGAGAAGUUCAAAUCACAGAUCUUCUUAAGCAGUCUGAAUGUAUUUAAAUGUUUGAAUUAAAUUAUUUUAAUAUUUAUUCCAAAGUAUAGUUUCUUGCCCACUUUUAAGUGAGUUGUCUAUUGAAUUGUAGGAGUGCUUUAUGUAUUCUGAAUACAAAUCCUUUGUCAGACAUUAAGUAUUCUGGUUUUCUCCCAGUCUGUACUUUGCCUAUUUGCUUUGUCCAGAGGGGUUUUUGCUCCUCUACCAUUAGCAAAAUUCUCCUAACGAUACAUCAAGUGAUGGAAGUGUUUUGAAAAUUCUUUGAAGAAUAUGAGAGCUACACCUUGUACCAUGAGGCUUCCAAGGUUAUAUUUAUAUUCAGCUGAAUUCCACUUUCCCUGGAUGGCUGAGAACAUUUACCAUAUAAAUCAAAAACUGAUGAAGCCUGGAAGAUGUGUGUUUAAAAAGUUGACAAUAAAAUGUUUUAUGGACUUAUAUGCCACUUAAAUCAGUUAAGUCAACUGUGGUAUGUAGAAGACAAUCACCUGUCACCUGUUUCUCUAGUGGCUGUACUCACUGGUUCAAUCAGUACACCAGAGAAUCAGCAUAAGAAACUAAGAAGUCCCUUCAUGGCUGGCUGGCUGUUAUUGCCUAAAUGUUUACUUUCAUGUCUCCAAUGAUGUUCAAUUUAAACCAAUUGAAAAUCCUGCUGGAAAACCUGAAAUUUAUCCAAUUCCUUAAAAGUUCCACCGUAGAUCCUUUCUCUGGCCAAUUGGACAAAAUAAGUUGUUAGUGAAGGCUUCAGAGCUUUGUGAAAGCCUUUGUACAGAAUUAGAUGGCACACCUCAUCUUGACCGGACAUCUUUAACCAG